rnacentral:rRNA from 1 species
CAGCAGUGGGGAAUAUUGCACAAUGGGGGAAAACCCUGAUGCAGCCAUGCCGCGUGUGUGAAGAAGGCCUUCGGGUUGUAAAGCACUUUCAGUAGGGAGGAAGGUAGUGUAGUUAACACCUGCAUUAUUUGACGUUACCUACAGAAGAAGCACCGGCUAACUCCGUGCCAGCAGCCGCGGUAAUACGGAGGGUGCGAGCGUUAAUCGGAAUUACUGGGCGUAAAGCGCAUGCAGGCGGCCUGUUAAGUCAGAUGUGAAAGCCCCGGGGCUUAACCUCGGAAUUGCAUUUGAAACUGGCAGGCUAGAGUCUUGUAGAGGGGGUAGAAUUUCAGGUGUAGCGGUGAAAUGCGUAGAGAUCUGAAGGAAUACCAGUGGCGAAGGCGGCCCCCUGGACAAAGACUGACGCUCAGAUGCGAAAGCGUGGGGAGCAAACAGGAUUAGAUACCCUGGUAG